GUCCACGCCCUAAACGAUGUCAACUAGUUGUUCGGUGAGGAGACUCAUUGAGUAACGCAGCUAACGCGUGAAGUUGACCGCCUGGGGAGUACGGCCGCAAGGUUAAAACUCAAAGGAAUUGACGGGGACCCGCACAAGCGGUGGAUGAUGUGGAUUAAUUCGAUGCAACGCGAAAAACCUUACCUACCCUUGACAUGUCAGGAAUCCUUGAGAGAUUGAGGAGUGCCCGAAAGGGAACCUGAACACAGGUGCUGCAUGGCUGUCGU
rnacentral:rRNA from 1 species